rnacentral:rRNA from 1 species
AGGACGAACGCUUGCGACGUGCCUAAGAAAUGCAAGUCGAACGGGGUAGCAAUACCUAGUGGCGAACGGUCGCGUAACACGUGGGCAACCUGCCCUGAAGUGGGGGACAACAUCUCGAAAGAGUUGCUAAUACCGCAUGUGUAUCAUGUAUGGCAUCAUUGCGUGAUACAAAGCCUUCGGGCGCUUCAGGAUGGGCCCGCGGCCUAUCAGCUUGUUGGUGAGGUAACGGCCCACCAAGGCUUCGACGGGUAGCUGGUCUGAGAGGACGAUCAGCCGGAUUGGGACUGAGAUACGGCCCAGACUCCUACGGGGGGCAGCAAUUAGGAAUCUUGCACAAUGGGCGAAAGCCUGAUGCAGCGACGUCGCGUGAGGGAUGAAGUCUUUCGGGACGUAAACCUCUUUUAUCGGGGAAGAAACAAUGACGGUACCCGAUGAAUAGCCCGGCUAACUACGCGCCAGCAGCCGCGGUAA